UGGGGAAUAUUGGACAAUGGGGGCAACCCUGAUCCAGCCAUGCCGCGUGAGUGAAGAAGGCCUUCGGGUUGUAAAGCUCUUUCAGAUGCGAAGAUGAUGACGGUAACAUCAGAAGAAGCCCCGGCUAAUUUCGUGCCAGCAGCCGCGGUAAUACGAAAGGGGCUAGCGUUGUUCGGAUUUACUGGGCGUAAAGGGCACGCAGGCGGUCUUGCCAGUCAGGGGUGAAAGCCCGGGGCUCAACCCCGGAACUGCCUCUGAUACUGCAGGACUAGAGACUAGGAGAGGGUGGUGGAAUUCCCAGUGUAGAGGUGAAAUUCGUAGAUAUUGGGAGGAACACCAGAGGCGAAGGCGGCCACCUGGACUAGAUCUGACGCUCAGGUGCGAAAGCGUGGGGAGCAAACAGGAUUAGAUACCCUGGUAGUCCACGCCGUAAACGAUGAGUGCUAGUUGUCGGGAUUUCGAUUUCGGUGGCGCAGCUAACGCAUUAAGCACUCCGCCUGGGGAGUACGGUCGCAAGAUUA
rnacentral:rRNA from 1 species